GUCCGGUGAAGUGUUCGGAUAAUGAAGAUAUAGGUGGUUACUACCUUGUGACGUUGUGAUAAGUCCAUCGACCUUAUCGUUUAGAGGAAGGAGAAGUCAUAACAAGGUUUAUGUAAGUGAACCUAUGGAAGUAUCAUUGUCGAACCUUGAUUGUAGGUUGAUUUGAACUUGUAUAUAUAGAAAACAAUAGUGUUAGAUCUUUUAGAAAUACUAAACCUCAACUAAAAAAUAACAAGAAAGUGAAAAGGGGUUUGGUAUUGAGAAUGUCAACUUAAAACGUUGUUUUAGUGCAUGUGCAGGUUGUGUAUCUAAUAUAAAUGACUCUUGGAAAUGGAUAUCUGGUCUCUUACAUCGAUUAAGAAUAUAUAAAAAUGCAAUACUUGGUUUUAAUUGAAGAAUAUCAUGAACUAUCAAAUCUUUGAAAGCACGUUGCACUAAAUGACAAUUUGGUUGAUGGAUCGUUUUCUUGGGAGUCAAAUGUUGUGUCGCUCCUCAUAUUGGUGAGGGACUAGAUCAUGUCCUCCUAGGCUACUUUUUUUGUGUGGAUGGUCGAAAUUCAUUUCUUUCACGAUGAAUGAUGUCUAUGUAUGUGGUUUCCUGUGCCUAGUGUGCAAAAUACAUGCUUUAAAAGCAUUAAUUUUGGAAGUUGGAUCCUUUACGGAGAACAUAGUUCACUCUUUUAUUUGGACUACCUGCUGAUUUUAAGCAUAUCAAUAGGCAUAUGAGAAGAUACUUACUAGGAUUGCCUUA
rnacentral:rRNA from 1 species